CUUGAUUUCUGCUGCGCAUAUGCCUAGCAAAGGAAUUUCUUCUUUAUUGUUUAUUCUUCCCCCCAUAGUCCAGAUUUCCAGAGUGCUCUAGUUCCCUAAUAUGCUUCCAUUUAAGCCAGGAGGCAAAUAGAAAAAUCAUGCUGAGUUUUUUGAGAAAAGCUAUGUUACCUUUGGCCAACCUGGAUGAAGCAGGGUUCUCAGUAAAACACAGUUUGUAGAUUCAAGAGCUGCAUGCUGUAGACAAAGGGAUUUGCUUAAGGACAUACAAUUCUAUGACAAGGCUACAACUACAACAAGGUUCUCCUGAAUGUUUUGGCCAAAGGUUUCCACCCAUCUUGGAGUCAGACAAAACAGAGUUUAGAUCUCAACUCAGCUACUCACUUUACAGGUGCACAGUGGAAGAUAAAUGGUGGCAGAGGGUGGCUGCUGUCUAAGCCUGACACCAGAGCCAGAAUGCUAUGGAACAGUGCCCUCAUCUGACCAUUGGUGGACAUGUAAUAGACAUGAACCCUUUUACUUACCCUGACUGAUGAGAAAAAUGUCACUCCCAACCACUGGCUUCAGCACAAUCACCCUGCUGCAAUCUACCUGCAAGAGGGGCUGGGACCUGUAGAGCAGCACAGGGGUAUUUGAUAUUACAUUUGAUGCUCACGCUUUAGGGGGGAUUGACCAAUCCAAUUGUAACUUUGAAACAGGAUUCAGUCAUAUGUAAAGUCAUCGAACAUCUAAGUGGGAAUUUACUAAAGAACUUCUGGUUGGAAUUGAAUUACUAUUGUGAAUCAAACAAUCAGUUGCUGAU